rnacentral:rRNA from 1 species
GGGUUGUGAGGUUAAGCGACUAAGCGUACACGGUGGAUGCCCUGGCAGUCAGAGGCGAUGAAGGACGUGCUAAUCUGCGAAAAGCGUCGGUAAGGUGAUAUGAACCGUUACAGCCGGCGAUGUCCGAAUGGGGAAACCCAGUGCAAUGCGUUGCACUAUCGUUAACUGAAUACAUAGGUUAACGAGGCGAACCGGGGGAACUGAAACAUCUAAGUACCCCGAGGAAAAGAAAUCAACCGAGAUUCCCCCAGUAGCGGCGAGCGAACGGGGAGCAGCCCAGAGUCUGAAUCAGCUUGUGUGUUAGUGGAACGGUCUGGAAAGUCCGACGGUACAGGGUGAUAGUCCCGUACACCAAAAUGCACAGGUUGUGAACUCGAAGAGUAGGGCGGGACACGUGGUAUCCUGUCUGAAUAUGGGGGGACCAUCCUCCAAGGCUAAAUACUCCUGACUGACCGAUAGUGAACCAGUACCGUGAGGGAAAGGCGAAAAGAACCCCGGCGAGGGGAGUGAAAAAGAACCUGAAACCGUGUACGUACAAGCAGUGGGAGCACCUUCGGGUGUGACUGCGUACCUUUUGUAUAAUGGGUCAGCGACUUAUAUUCUGUAGCAAGGUUAACCGUAUAGGGGAGCCGCAGGGAAACCGAGUCUUAACUGGGCGUUAAGUUGCAGGGUAUAGACCCGAAACCCGGUGAUCUAGCCAUGGGCAGGUUGAAGGUUGGGUAACACUAACUGGAGGACCGAACCGACUAAUGUUGAAAAAUUAGCGGAUGACUUGUGGCUGGGGGUGAAAGGCCAAUCAAACCGGGAGAUAGCUGGUUCUCCCCGAAAGCUAUUUAGGUAGCGCCUCGUGAAUUCAUCUUCGGGGGUAGAGCACUGUUUCGGCUAGGGGGUCAUCCCGACUUACCAACCCGAUGCAAACUACGAAUACCGAAGAAUGUUAUCACGGGAGACACACGGCGGGUGCUAACGUCCGUCGUGAAGAGGGAAACAACCCAGACCGCCAGCUAAGGUCCCAAAGUCAUGGUUAAGUGGGAAACGAUGUGGGAAGGCACAGACAGCCAGGAUGUUGGCUUAGAAGCAGCCAUCAUUUAAAGAAAGCGUAAUAGCUCACUGGUCGAGUCGGCCUGCGCGGAAGAUGUAACGGGGCUAAACCAUGCACCGAAGCUGCGGCAGCGACACUAUGUGUUGUUGGGUAGGGGAGCGUUCUGUAAGCCUGCGAAGGUGUGCUGUGAGGCAUGCUGGAGGUAUCAGAAGUGCGAAUGCUGACAUAAGUAACGAUAAAGCGGGUGAAAAGCCCGCUCGCCGGAAGACCAAGGGUUCCUGUCCAACGUUAAUCGGGGCAGGGUGAGUCGACCCCUAAGGCGAGGCCGAAAGGCGUAGUCGAUGGGAAACAGGUUAAUAUUCCUGUACUUGGUGUUACUGCGAAGGGGGGACGGAGAAGGCUAUGUUAGCCGGGCGACGGUUGUCCCGGUUUAAGCAUGUAGGCUGGUUGUCCAGGCAAAUCCGGAUAAUCAAGGCUGAGGUGUGAUGACGAGGCACUACGGUGCUGAAGUAACAAAUGCCCUGCUUCCAGGAAAAGCCUCUAAGCAUCAGGUAACAUCAAAUCGUACCCCAAACCGACACAGGUGGUCAGGUAGAGAAUACCAAGGCGCUUGAGAGAACUCGGGUGAAGGAACUAGGCAAAAUGGUGCCGUAACUUCGGGAGAAGGCACGCUGGUGUGUAGGUGAAGUCCCUGCGGAUGGAGCUGAGACCAGUCGAAGAUACCAGCUGGCUGCAACUGUUUAUUAAAAACACAGCACUGUGCAAACACGAAAGUGGACGUAUACGGUGUGACGCCUGCCCGGUGCCGGAAGGUUAAUUGAUGGGGUUAUCCGUAAGGAGAAGCUCUUGAUCGAAGCCCCGGUAAACGGCGGCCGUAACUAUAACGGUCCUAAGGUAGCGAAAUUCCUUGUCGGGUAAGUUCCGACCUGCACGAAUGGCGUAAUGAUGGCCAGGCUGUCUCCACCCGAGACUCAGUGAAAUUGAACUCGCUGUGAAGAUGCAGUGUACCCGCGGCAAGACGGAAAGACCCCGUGAACCUUUACUAUAGCUUGACACUGAACAUUGAGCCUUGAUGUGUAGGAUAGGUGGGAGGCUUUGAAGCGUGGACGCCAGUCUGCGUGGAGCCAACCUUGAAAUACCACCCUUUAAUGUUUGAUGUUCUAACGUUGGCCCCUGACCGGGGUUGCGGACAGUGUCUGGUGGGUAGUUUGACUGGGGCGGUCUCCUCCCAAAGCGUAACGGAGGAGCACGAAGGUUAGCUAAUCCUGGUCGGACAUCAGGAGGUUAGUGCAAUGGCAUAAGCUAGCUUGACUGCGAGCGUGACGGCGCGAGCAGGUGCGAAAGCAGGUCAUAGUGAUCCGGUGGUUCUGAAUGGAAGGGCCAUCGCUCAACGGAUAAAAGGUACUCCGGGGAUAACAGGCUGAUACCGCCCAAGAGUUCAUAUCGACGGCGGUGUUUGGCACCUCGAUGUCGGCUCAUCACAUCCUGGGGCUGAAGUAGGUCCCAAGGGUAUGGCUGUUCGCCAUUUAAAGUGGUACGCGAGCUGGGUUUAGAACGUCGUGAGACAGUUCGGUCCCUAUCUGCCGUGGGCGCUGGAGAAUUGAGGGGGGCUGCUCCUAGUACGAGAGGACCGGAGUGGACGCAUCACUGGUGUUCGGGUUGUCAUGCCAAUGGCACUGCCCGGUAGCUAAAUGCGGAAGAGAUAAGUGCUGAAAGCAUCUAAGCACGAAACUUGCCCCGAGAUGAGUUCUCCCUGAGACUUUAAGUCUCCUGAAGGAACGUUGAAGACGACGACGUUGAUAGGCCGGGUGUGUAAGCGCAGCGAUGCGUUGAGCUAACCGGUACUAAUGAACCGUGAGGCUUAACCUUACAACGCCGAAG